rnacentral:rRNA from 1 species
CCUACGGGGAGCAGCAGUGAGGAAUAUUGGUCAAUGGGCGAGAGCCUGAACCAGCCAAGUCGCGUGAAGGAUGACGGCCCUACGGGUUGUAAACUUCUUUUGUCAGGGAGCAAUUGGGUCCACGCGUUGGCUUAGCGAGAGUACCUGAAGAAAAAGCAUCGGCUAACUCCGUGCCAGCAGCCGCGGUAAUACGGAGGAGGCGAGCGUUAUCCGGAUUUAUUGGGUGAAAAGGGUGCGUAGUCGGAAUAUCAAGUUAGAGGUAAAAAUUCGGGGGUAAACCCGGACGUGCCGUUGAAACUGAGGUUCUUGAGUGGGCGAGAAGUAUGCGGAAUGCGUGGUGUAGCGGUGAAAUGCAUAGAGAUCACGAAGAACUCCGAUUGCGAAGGCAGCAUACCGGCGCCCAACUGACGCUGAAGCACGAAAGCGUGGGUAUCGAACAGGAUUAGAUACCCUUGUAGUC